rnacentral:lncRNA from 1 species
AUGCCGGGGAACCACAACAGCGAAAGACUCGCUUUCCAAGGCUGCCGCGGCCCGCAAGGGGCCGCGAGGGCACCGGCGCGCCGGAGAGCCACCCUGGAGCAGCAAUCCUUAGGCCACCGGCGGCGGGGGCACCCGCAGUCGGGCUCUGCAGGGGACCGGGAGGAAGGGAGAGGGGAGAGGGGGUGGGGGGGGAGGGUGCCUGCCUACCCCCGCACCCCACCCCCACCNNNNNNNCCCCUGCGCGGCCCCUCCCCCGUCACAUGGGCUCCAGAGCACCUGUUGGCGACCUCAGCCCCUAGCGGAGCCCCUCCCGCCGGCCCGGGCAACUCCCCCGCCCGCACCCCCACCCCCAGCGGGAAGGGAUAGGAACGCUGCCCGGUUCUAGCUCUGCCAAACCCGCUUCGCCCCAGGAGGGCGUGGGGGGCCGUUGGGCGACCCCUGCCCAGCUGCUCAGCUUUGCAAAGUGCAAAAGCGCGCUGGCCCGGCGCAGCGAUCUGCAGGAGGGGCUCCUGCCCGCCCCCGACCCCCCUCCACGUGCCCCUCUCUCCCGGGCGGAGCGGCGAGAUGGGGUGCCCCCGCCCCCUGCCCGACUCCACUGGAAACCUGGGCUCCGCGCGGGCGCGG